UACGUAGGGUGCAAGCGUUGUCCGGAAUUAUUGGGCGUAAAGAGCUCGUAGGCGGUCUGUCGCGUCUGCUGUGAAAACUCAGGGCUUAACCCUGAGCUUGCAGUGGGUACGGGCAGACUAGAGUGCGGUAGGGGAGACUGAAAUUCCUGGUGUAGCGGUGAAAUGCGCAGAUAUCAGGAGGAACACCGGUGGCGAAGGCGGGUCUCUGGGCCGUAACUGACGCUGAGGAGCGAAAGCAUGGGGAGCGAACAGG
rnacentral:rRNA from 1 species